rnacentral:rRNA from 1 species
AGCGAACGCUGGCGGCAGGCCUAACACAUGCAAGUCGAACGGACUCUUCGGAGUUAGUGGCGGACGGGUGAGUAACACGUGGGAACGUGCCUUUAGGUUCGGAAUAAGCCCGGGAAACUGGGUCUAAUACCGAAUGUGCCCUUCGGGGAAGGAUUAUCGCCUUAGUAGCGGCCCGCGUCUGAUUAGCUAGUUGGUGGUGUAAUGGACCACCAAGGCGACGAUCAGUAGCUGGUCUGAGAGGAUGACCAGCCACAUUGGGAC